GACCUCUUGGCUCAGUGGUAGAGCAUCUGAUUCCAGUAAUAAGCAUGGUUCCAGAAGGUCGUCCGUUCGAUCCGGGCAGAGGUCA